rnacentral:rRNA from 1 species
UACAGAGGGUGCAAGCGUUAAUCGGAAUUACUGGGCGUAAAGGGCGCGUAGGUGGUUGACUAAGUCAGAUGUGAAAUACCUGGGCUUAACCUAGGAAUUGCAUUUGAUACUAAUUGGCUAGAGUAUGGGAGAGGGAAGUGGAAUUUCCGGUGUAGCGGUGAAAUGCGUAGAUAUCGGAAGGAACACCAGUGGCGAAGGCGACUUCCUGGCCCAUUACUGACACUGAGGCGCGAAAGCGUGGGGAGCGAACAGG